AUCUAGUCUCCAGUUUCCUCCUUAGUAAUGUGCAGCAGCAGUUACACGCUUCAGUGGCAGCAGGUGAUCCCAUUAUAUUCUGCUUUCACAAAUAAAGUUUCAUCUCCAUUUCCUUCACAUGGGUGAGGUGGGGACGUGGAGAUUCUCUGAAGAAGAGAAAGCAUCUGUCCAGGCCUGAGGUGCUACCUGAUGUCACAGUAGUUUUGGAACAGGCUUUGUUGGGGACACCUUAGCUCUGUUUGGUGUCCUUUUGUCUGCUGUGGAUCUUCUGGCUGCAGAAGGAAUAUGCAGCCUUUUUGUUGCCGAUACUGAAAGGGAUCUAGGAGACAGCAGCUCCGUGCUACUGGAGGUGCUGCAGUGCCCAGGUCUCCAAAAAGGUGUUGGCCAUGCAGUAGCAGCUUGAGGCUGCACCUGAAGGCAGGGAAGUGGG